rnacentral:tRNA from 1 species
GCCCAUCUAGCUUAGUUGGUAGAGUGCAAGGCUCUUAACCUUGUGGUUGUGGCUUCAAGCCCUACAAUGGGCG